rnacentral:tRNA from 1 species
GGGGUUGUGGCGGAAUUUGGUAGACGCCAUUGAUUCAAAAUCAAUUGCCUGAAAAGGCGUGCGGGUUCGAUUCCCGCCAACCCCACCA